rnacentral:lncRNA from 10 species
GGGUUUAAAGUUUAACUCACAAAAGAAAACAAAUUUGAUUCAAUAAAUUUCAAUUAAUAGUUUGGUUUAUGGUUUAAAAGUUAUUUAAAAAUUUCUGAAAAAGCAGAUUAUCAAGGAAUUGGUUCACUCACAGUCAGCCAGAAAUAAAAAGGUGAUAUUUUAAAAUUUUAGACCAAAAAAGAAAUUUAGAUUCCCUUAUAAAUAAAUGCCGAGAGAAUAUUUUCAGCAAACAUUCAUUUAACUACAUAAACCAAAAGAAUAAGGCUGUCUAACCACAUGUAAACUACGCAUCAUCUGACUUCAGGUAGAAUGUUUAUCUUUGGUAUACUUGGUAACCAGAAACCCAAAGUAUAUAAACAUAGGCAUAUUCUAAAAACAAUUGUCUUAAUGUUUUUGUUCGCUAGGCAAUAAUUCCCACAAUUCUCAGAAAGAAAAAAACAAUAUCCUUAACCAAAAAGUUAUCAGAGGAGUUUCUACUUCUUAAACUUUUAAACAAACAUAUUUGCCCACUUAUCAUUUAAGCCCCAUCAGGGCUUAAAUGAUAAGCCCUGUUGUGUCUCCCCUGUUGUGUCCCCAACCUCUAGGGAACUAACUGGCACCAAGUAGGUACCCAAUACACAUGUGCAGAAUGAACUGAGUCUCUGGAAAAAGCUUAAGUGUUUUAAGUUGCAACAGGACAAUUUCACCUAUAUAUCCAUCAUUCACUACACUGAACUCUAAUGACGUAAUAAAAAGACUCGUACCAGGUAUUUAAAAACACACACAAAAAUAUAUUACUCACAUAUGUAUCUGACUCACAAAGCCAGUUUUUCAGUUAUGUUUUCUCUCAGGAAAAUUUGUUGUAUUCUUUCUAGUAUUACUAAUAAAUAUUAGAAAAGCACGUUGUGUUCUGCCAAUGCAAGCAUUAUCUUCAAACUUACGUUGCAAUCUGAAAAAAUUUAGGCAAACUAAACAGUAUUUCCAGAGUCCUGCCCCAAAGUAUUACUAAAAGUCAAAUUCCUUAAUUCAAUGAAAAGUGAAAUAACGCACAGUGGCGCAUGCCUGUAGUCCCAGCUUCUUGGGAGCCUGACACGGGAGGAUCGCUUGAGCUCAGGAGUCUGAGACCAGCCUGAGCCAAAUAAGGAGAACCUAUCUUAAAAGGAAAAAAAAAAAAGUGGAAUAUAAUGGGAAAAACGCACAUCUUACCGUUCAAAAAUUAUGCUGAAUUUUAAAAAGAAAAAAUGAACUACGCUUAAAAUAAAUACACUGAAAUUGUUUAUCCCAAAUGGCAUUAAUGCCCUUACAUUUUGAUAUUUAGAUCUGCCUCAAAAGACCUUUGAAGCUACAUGAUAAACUUCAUGCCUACAAAGCUUGAGUUAGAGGUUAUCUUUGUUAAAAUAAUACUGUUUGGAUGCUCAGUUUUGGAAGUUUCCUCAUAAUUCUAAAUUAAGAUAUUUAGCCGUAAGAGUAAUACACUUAUGUGUAUGAUUCUAUAGCACUUGUUCUAUAGCACUUGUACAAGCAUAAUGAUCUUGAGUGGAACAGGCUUUAUAAUGAGCAAGCUAUGAUCUGUCUAACAGCGAUACUCUGCAAACACGGGCUGAAAAGUUUCCUAAAAUUCUGAUGGUCAUCUUCAAAGAAACUUGAACAGGAAUCGAUCUAAUGGUGGACACAGAAAAAUACCCAAGUCAACUCAUGAACACUGGUAAGAAAAGGCUCUCUAUAGCAACUAAAGUGUUGGGGAAAAAAAAUCCAGGGAGCAUAAACGAUAAAGCUCAAUUAACUGCUGCUUGUGUGAUUCCACUUUAUGGUCUUAAAUACACAGUAGGCAUUAGAUAUUUCUUUUGGGGUUUUUUUUUUUUAACAGAAAUUUAGUAUUUCAAUUGCCCCUCCUCCACAGCUAACAUCAGUGCCCUUUCUUCCUCCUCCCUUACCCCUCCCAACUCAAACAAAUUAACAUUUGUACUAGGUACCUCCUAUCAGCUCGCAGCUUCUUCCCAAACACGCCCACGUACA